rnacentral:lncRNA from 1 species
ACACACGACAGUCUUUAGUCCUAAAUUAUCAGUCUUUAGUCCAUAUCAACACAAUACUGUGACACUUCCACACAAAUGUAACAAUUUUCAACUCGAGACAGUCUUGGAGUUAAUGGUUUCAGGUGCGUCGUCACCAGUUAGCUUGGAGCACGUAGCGGGAAUCGUCUCGAUUUCAGUCGUUGGCAAUCGGUCUCUUACUUCCCAUAAGGGCGAAGCUAUUGGUUUUUCUUUCCUCGGACCUUUCGUGCUCUUCCUUCUUUGCUUUCUCACCUCUAUAUAUAAAUUUUUUGCAUCCGCUGUUGCGGAUAAGCAAUUUCCUGCAGUUAAAGGGGGCGUAUUUUCUCAAUUAAUUAGCGAGGGUCCAGCGUCGAUCUUACUUCACUUUUCCUAAGUUUCUGUCAAUAUGGAAUUUAGAUAAAUUCUUAUUUCCUUCAACGGAAGCAAAUUUUACUUCAUUACUGGCG